GACGUAGGGCGCGAGCGUUGUCCGGAUUUAUUAGGGCGUAAAGAGCUCGUUAGGCGGCUUGUCGCGUCGUCCGUGAAAACCUGGGGCUCAACUCCAGGCUUGCGGUCGAUACGGGCAGGCUCGAGUUCGGUAGGGGAGACUGGAAGUUCCUGGUGUAGCGGUGGAAAUGCGUAGAGAUCCGGAAGAACACCAGUGGCGAAGGCGGUCUGCUGGGCCGCAACUGACACUAAGUGGACGAAAGCUAGGGGAGCGAAUGGGA
rnacentral:rRNA from 1 species